rnacentral:lncRNA from 10 species
GACUUUUCAUUCCAGCCACCAGGCUACUCUGAGUUUUUCAAUGUGCAGAAGGCCUUCACAGCUGGUGCCUGAAUGCCUGGCGGUAGAAGCUAUCUAUGUCUCCUUCCACCUCUUUUUGGAAACAAAUAAUUACCAUGUAUUACAACAAAGAUCACAACAGAGGUCUGUUUAGGGAUCUCUGCCUUGCUCCCAUCUGUACCUUUUGUCCCAGCACCCAGUAGACACUUACCAUAUCCUGAUGCAGAUUAGAGCUCAGCAAUGUUUGAUGAGUGUCACGUGUCAAGCCCUGGGUUAAAGGAUACUUUGUCCUACUUUGUCUGCACCACGGUGGUGAGUAAAAUCUCCAUGUUGCCCUUACGUGAUGAUCCUGACAAGGCUUGGCCCCCAGAACCACAGACAAUUCCAGGCAUCAUAUUGGCAGGCAGGCUGAGCUGGCUGGUCAACCCCAGGGUGGAGCAGGGCACACUUGGGGGAGCUGAUCCUGCAAGGGCAGAUGGAGCUCCAUCUGGGAGAAAAGCUCAUUUCCCAAGAGAAAGCUUGGUCUUGUUUGGAGCCUGUGAUCUCCUUGUUCUCCUCCCAGUU